UAAUACAUGCAAGUCGAACGAGAUCUUCGGAUCUAGUGGCGCACGGGUGCGUAACGCGUGGGAAUCUGCCCUUGGGUUCGGAAUAACUUCUGGAAACGGAAGCUAAUACCGGAUGAUGACGUAAGUCCAAAGAUUUAUCGCCCAAGGAUGAGCCCGCGUAGGAUUAGCUAGUUGGUGAGGUAAAAGCUCACCAAGGCGAUAAUCAAUAGCUGAUUUGAGAGGAUGAUCAGCCACACUGGGACUGAGAUACGGCCCAGACUCC
rnacentral:rRNA from 1 species